UAAACGACUCUCGGCAACGGAUAUCUCGGCUCAUGCAUCGAUGAAGAACGUAGCAAAAUGCGAUACUUGGUGUGAAUUGCAGAAUCCCGUGAACCAUCGAGUUUUUGAACGCAAGUUGCGCCCGAAGCCUUCUGGUUGAGGGCACGUCUGCCUGGGCGUCACGC
rnacentral:rRNA from 27 species